rnacentral:rRNA from 1 species
GACGAACGCUGGCGGCGUGCUUAACACAUGCAAGUCGAACGGAAAGGCCCUGCUUUUGUGGGGUGCUCGAGUGGCGAACGGGUGAGUAACACGUGAGUAACCUGCCCUUGACUUUGGGAUAACUUCAGGAAACUGGGGCUAAUACCGGAUAGGAGCUCCUGCUGCAUGGUGGGGGUUGGAAAGUUUCGGCGGUUGGGGAUGGACUCGCGGCUUAUCAGCUUGUUGGUGGGGUAGUGGCUUACCAAGGCUUUGACGGGUAGCCGGCCUGAGAGGGUGACCGGCGACAUUGGGACUGAGAUACGGACCAGACUGCUACGGGAGGCAGCAGUGGGGAAUAUUGCACAAUGGGCGGAAGCCUGAUGCAGCAGCGCCGCGUGCGGGAUGAAGGCCUUCGGGUUGGAAACCGCUUUCGCCUGUGACGAAGCGUGAGUGACGGUAAUGGGUAAAGAAGCACCGGCUAACUACGUG